AACGAACGCUGGCGGCAGGCCUAACACAUGCAAGUCGAGCGGACCCUUCGGGGUUAGCGGCGGACGGGUGAGUAGCGCGUGGGAAUAUGCCCUUCUCUACGGAAUCGUCCUGGGAAACUGGGGGUAAUACCGCAUACGCCCUUUGGGGGUAAGAUUUAUCGGUGAAGGAUUAGCCCGCGUUGGAUUAGGUAGUUGGUGUGGUAGUGGCCUACCCAGCCGACGAUCCAUAGCUGGUUUGAGAGGAUGAUCAGCCACACUGGGACUGAGACACGGCCCAGACUCCUACGGGAGGCAGCAGUGGGGAAUCAUAGACAAUGGGGGCAACCCUGAUCUAGCCAUGCCGCGUGAGUGAUGAAGGCCUGAGGGUUGUAAAGCUCUUUCAGCUGGGAAGAUAAUGACGGUACCAGCAGAAGAAGCCCCGGCUAACUCCGUG
rnacentral:rRNA from 1 species